AUUAAAAUUAUAUUUGUGUAUAAAAAUAUUUUCUCGGGCUAUCACACUAGAACUGCAUCUUCCAGUCGAAUUAAGUGAUACCUUUUACUGAGAUUGUGCAAGAUCGGCCAUAUAUAAUGGCAUCGAAGGAAUAGCUUGCAAUUAAAUGAGCUUUGCUCGAGCUAUGCACUAAUAAGAGCUCACUAAUAUUUUGUAAUCCCAAUUAUCAUAUUAAAUUACAUGUUGGAAUUCCAAUUAUCAUACUAAAUUGCACAGCUGACCUCUAUGGGUAAUCUGGGUAUACAGCCUUGGUUUUAUUUAUGUGAAAAAGAGUAAAAUAUUUUGUAUUUUAAUUAUUUUAAAGCGACUUCUGCUAACUUUUACCACUUUUUAGAUAUGUGGGUUUUACUAAAAGGGAAAAAGUUUAUAUAAAGCUUAGGUUCUAAACAAUCAAAUUUGAGCCUACUUCAAAAAUUUCAUUAGAAGAGGUUGCUUUGAUGCCCAAUUAUCUUCAAAUUGAUCAUCUCGACAUCAAUAUACAUGGACAUGAGAAAAAAAUGGAUUGCAAGGUUUGGAAAUGGGUGCAGUUGGCAUACAGAUGCAUCCGUAGUUUUAGAGGUAAAGUGCACCUUCAAAUUUUAUCAUGGUAUAUAAUUUUGAUAUAAAAUGUUCUUAGGAUUAUCUCAAAAUCUAUUUUUAUAUCUAAUUAUAAAAUGUUCAAUGUCAAAUAUGGUUAAAAUCAAGUAGAUCUACAAACAUAUGAAAAACUUGAAAAUGGAUGGUGUAGAUAAUAUGCUGUAAAAUGCACUGUUUUUGAGACUUAAAAUCUUUUAUUUUUCAUAGUCAUACAUUUCAAUUUCGAGAUGAUCAAUUAAAGGGUUUUUCAAUAUUAAAACU
rnacentral:lncRNA from 1 species